AGGGCUUCUCCGGAGAAUGAACAAGAGCCCUCGGAGCUAUACUUGGUAUUCCUCUUCCUCUCGUUUCUAGAGCCAUGCUUAGUUCUCGCCUCCUUGGGUUGCGCCGCUUCUCCAGAGCUUCUUCGAUUUCGCGCAAAUGCUGAAAAUCCAAAUGGCCAUACACAAGUGAUGGGACUUUUCAUGCUACCAUAAAGAAGUUUGAUGCAUGAAUGCUGCAAACAUUAAUCAAAGGUUCAUUAAUCCAGGUUUUCAAUCACAAUGCUCAAAAGACCAGAAUCAGAGAUAAGAGCAGGAUGAACUUUUUGACCACGUUGGGCUUCUUGUGGCCAAUGUAAAAGUACCUUAUGCAUGCUUUGUAUUAGACAAAUGAAUGGUGGGAAUAGAGAAAGCACAAGUUUAGGGGUAGUCCCUCACAAAUAGAAUCAAGUAUUGAGGAAAUGCCUAACAGCAAGUGUUGGGUGGUCUAGCCUUUUGCCAUGUGUGUGGGAAAUGGGGUGAAAGUGUGUUGCAUCAUUUAUUUAUUCUGAUUCUAGGCAAAAUACUGCUUCUCUGACUCCAUCAUCUUCCCGUCCAUCUACUGGGAAAGUACCUCUAAAUCCCCGGCGAACUACGAGCUCAGGGUCUCACUGCUCAUGUGUGUAUAAGUUUUCGAGGCUCCUUGCAACAGGUUGAUACAUGAGCCUUUAUUCCAAAAUAUGUUCCACCUCCGAACAAUGAAGUUCCACCUACUGACGAGGCCCCCAAUGGCGCUCAAAUGAAUCCUAAAGAUGAUUUUGACUCGGAAACAGAUGAAUUCCCUCAUGAGGAUACAGAGGCAUACGAUAGUGGCACGAUGCAGAAAACCUUUUUUAUCCCGUCAAGCCUAUACUAUAAUCAGGAACUAUUACACAAUAACCAUGGAGCAUUUAGAUGCCAAACUACAAGAACAACAGUCAACAGGGCUGGCCCAAUAAUCAUAAACUUUCAAUUACCCAAUAGGUAAGCUUGCAGAGCAUGCUGCAGCUUCAAGCAUUUUAUAAGCAUGUUGCUUCCAAAUGGUGAACGUGUGCCACUUAUUUGACAAAAUUUGGAGUGAAUUGUAUUUCUUGAAGUAAUUUAUAGCUUUCAUGCAUAUGCUUUGAUUAAUACAUGUUGCAUUAAAGUAGGCAAAAAGACAUAAUUUAAUGUUCUACUCAUGGCGUUUUAAAAUGGUCCAUGCAUAUAAAUCACAUUUCAAUUAUUAAAUUUUAUUUUUGUUGUGUUCUUUUACCAACCAAUGUGGAUCCUUUUCUUCCAUUGCGAGUGUUAUAGAUAACUGUGAUUUUCAGCUUAGGUGUGAUCAUCUUUAAUUUGAUGCUAUCUCAUUCCUUUCAUUGGUUGCUUAUAUGUGAUAGCCAUUUUGUUAUGAUGCCUAACAAUAAUUCAAGUAGUACAUCAAGAGAAUGCUUGCGAGUUUUAUACAAGGUUCAAAUUUUUCUAUCAACUGAUCAACCAAAUGACUGAUAGAAUAAUAGUCUUUAGAUGACUUUGGUCAGUUGUUAUUGUUGACGGAUCUCAAAUUCAAAUCAUGAUGUUUUGGAUGGCAAUAUUUUAUUGGACAUUAUAUUACUGAUUUUUAAGAACAUUAAUAUUUUGAGAUCAUGAGUAUUUCAAUUACUGAUUCUAACACCAGGAAUGAAACCUAUAUAUUGAAGGAACAGGAACUUGAUUAAUUAGAACAAUCGGUUUAAGAUCUAUAAUGUUAUUGGUCAAUUUUUGUUAUAUCCACUUACCUGAUUAGGUAUGAAGAAAUAAGUUGGCUUAUAAAAGGAUAGAUUUAUCUAACUAAUUAGGAAAAAAUAGUUUGUAUCUAAUAAGAGUUUUUCAUAUUUUUUGCUAAGUAAAUAAUUACAAUGCAAUGCUCUCUAAGAAAUAAGUUGGAAUCCUAUUUUAUCCAUAAAUGCUUCACUGAUUUGGUUAUAUAUUUGUUGUAAUUUAGUUUCUCUUCAAGUGUUUUCAUUUAUAAGCGUUGGAUAUACACCUAAAACCAACUGCUUAGGCCUAGUAAUUGGAAUUUUUGUUCAGUUCGUGGUUGAUUUUAAAUGGAACUUUUUUUUUUGCAGAUAACUUUUUUGUGAAGAAGGAUGUUGUAAGGCAACCAUAUCUCUUUCAACUUCAUAUUAACAGUUGAAACAGAAUUGACUAGUUACAGUUAUGCUUUGUUUGAAUACUAUCUAUAAUACCCUUUUGAUUUCACUCUGUAGGUUAGGCUUAUCUUAUUGUCCAUUUUAAUAAUUGCAUAUUGAAUUGAAAAUGUUUCAUUGUCUAGAAGAGGGUGAUGAUAGCUUUGUCUUGUGAUUGGUUGGUGGACUUAGAAAUGCUAAAAUAUAUUUUACAAUUUAUCAUAUAAAAGAAUCAAAUGAAACAUGCAUGUUCAUCUGUUUUCAAGCAUUCCAUUUUAAUAUUUUCAAUUGUUUUCAUCGGAGCACACACAUCUUCGGACCUUGCAGUGAAAAAUCACCUUAUGGCUGUGAAUUCCUAGAUCUCCAUGAUCUCCUUCAUCCCAUAUACCCAGAGAAAUACAAAGUUCUUUGUUUUCAAAAUAUGAAAGUUACUUUUUUUCACUCUCUAUGGUACGAAAGUUGCAACUUUCAGCCAGAAAUCUCACUGAUGUUCGGAUGUCAUGUGGUCUUAUUGGCACUUUCCAUGUCACAUAUGGCCAUCAUUCUGAUUGCUUUGUCUGCUAGCAUAUAUCAAGGUUGAAGCCAAUUCAUUUUACCAUUGCUCUAUAAGAAACAGGGACUAAUUUAGGGGUUGUACCUCCAUGAGUGAGAUUUCUAGCUGUUUUCCUUUCAAAUAAAUUAUCUUCUUAAAAAAUUUCAUUAUCCUGCUAAUCUUAUAACUUGACAUACAAUUUGGAAAUCAUGAGCCUGGAAUAGAACAACCUCUGCCUAUGUUCAUCUGAUAAUUGUUUCACCUUCUCAUCUUUUUCUCCAACAUAUUCAAACCCAAUUUAAAUGGUGUUGAAAAUCUUGAUUUAAAAGAUAAAGAAAAAGAAAAGACAAAAAAAAAUCUUUAUAUAUAUAUAUAUCUUUUGGUAUGUUUUAUAUGCCUUUUGGUGUGUAAAACAUAGCGGGUUCACUAGAAACAUGUGUCUGUGUUUAAUUUCUAUAUAGAUUCUAAGCACUAGUGGUGUUAUGAGAAAAGAAGAAAGUGGCUUAGUGGGUAAAUUAAGCAAUGGCAACUCCUCUUCUAUAUUAAUUUGUAUAAUGUAAAAUUUAAUAAUUAUCUAAUCACUUCGUUUGUUUCUUUUAUGCAUUUUGAUUAGU